AUUGAACGCUGGCGGCAGGCUUAACACAUGCAAGUCGAGCGGAGAUGAGGUGCUUGCACCUUAUCUUAGCGGCGGACGGGUGAGUAAUGCUUAGGAAUCUGCCUAUUAGUGGGGGACAACAUUCCGAAAGGAAUGCUAAUACCGCAUACGCCCUACGGGGGGAAGCAGGGGAUCUUCGGACCUUGCGCUAAUAGAUGAGCCUAAGUCGGAUUAGCUAGUUGGUGGGGUAAAGGCCUACCAAGGCGACGAUCUGUAGCGGGUCUGAGAGGAUGAUCCGCCUCACUGGGACUGAGACACGGCCCAGACUCCUACGGGAGGCAGCAGUGGGGAAUAUUGGACAAUGGGCGGAAGCCUGAUCCAGCCAUGCCGCGUGUGUGAAGAAGGCCUUUUGGUUGUAAAGCACUUUAAGCGAGGAGGAGGCUACCUGGAUUAAUACUCUAGGAUAGUGGACGUUACUCGCAGAAUAAGCACCGGCUAACUCUGUGCCAGCCGCCGCGGUAACAC
rnacentral:rRNA from 1 species